CCUACGGGAGGCAGCAGUGGGGAAUAUUGCACAAUGGGCGCAAGCCUGACGCAGCGACGCCGCGUGAGUGAUGAAGGUCUUCGGAUCGUAAACCACUGUCAGCAGGGAGGAAGGGUCACUGUGCUAAUAACCAGUGAAUUGACGGUACCUACAAAGGAAGCACCGGCUAACUCCGUGCCAGCAGCCGCGGUAAUACGGAGGGUGCGAGCGUUAAUCGGAAUUACUGGGCGUAAAGCGCUCGUAGGCGGUAGAUCAAGUCAAGGGUGAAAUCCCCGGGCUUAACGCGGGAACUGCAUGUGAAACUGGUAAACUGGAGUGUGGGAGAGGAGAGUGGAAGUCCAUGUGUAGGAGUGAAAUGCGUAGAGAUGUGGAGGAAUACCAGUGGCGAAGGCGACCACCUGGACAAUAACUGACGCUGAGGAGCGAAAGCGUGGGGAGCAAACAGGAUUAGAUACCCCUGUAGUC
rnacentral:rRNA from 1 species